GGUUCAGGGCGUGAUAAGAUCUAACAAAAAAAAUGUAAACAACUUGAAAUUCAUCUUAUAUGCCGUCGAAUUGGCAACUAGUUUGAGAAUCAACUUCUAGAAAUCCCAGCUGAUUGGACUUGGAAUCAGUGACCAACUUGGGCACUUGUGUGGUGAAAUGCUUGGCUGUCAGGUAUCUCACUUACCCAUCCAGUACCUUG
rnacentral:lncRNA from 1 species